UAGCAGGUGCUGUGGAUGCUGCUGGU
rnacentral:piRNA from 1 species